rnacentral:rRNA from 1 species
CCUUCAUGAAGCCGGAAUUGCUAGUAAUGGCAGGUCAGCAUACUGCCGUGAAUACGUUCCCGGGCCUUGUACACACCGCCCGUCACACCAUGAGAGUUGGGAAUACCCGAAGCCUGUGAGCUAACGUUAAGAGGCAGCAGUCGAAGGUAGAAUCAAUGAUUGGGGUGAAGUCGUAACAAGGUAUC